AUGACCAGUCGUGGGGCUGCCAUACCCAUCCUCUUCCCCCAGAGGUUCCCCACGUCCACACCUCACCUCACAGCAAACAUGGGCAAGGAAGGAACUGUCUGCAAAUGUCCCAUUUAUCCUGUACUCGAGGAGGUGCGGACUGAGGGUAAGGGAAUGCAGCGGAAAGAACCGCUGCCGCCAUCGCUGUCUUUCAAGAUCGCCCAGGUGCCUCCACCGCCACCACGCCUCUGGGAAGCGGCAGCGCGACCCUCUGACCAGCCAGCCCCUCCCGCCGCGCCCUCUGCCCACCUGCCAGCGCACCCCGCCCUCCCUCCCGCCCUGGCAGCCGCCCCAUCUCCGCCCCUUCGGGCCAGCGGAGCCUCAUGGCUCAUAGGGCGUCCACGCCGCAGGGGUGGCCGUGGACUCGGCUGUGGGACACGUCAUGGGCAGCACCUUCAGCUGGGGGAGCUCGGAGCCUGCCCAGCCUGCUGCCCAACAGACCUCCACCCGCGCUGCCCCCCAGCCCUUGCAGAUGGGGCCCUGCGCCUACGACAGCAGGCAGUUCCUGGACUGUUCGACCACUCAGAGUGACCUGUCCCUGCGUGAGGGCUCCAGCGAGGCCCUAAAGCAGUGCAAGUACAACCAUGGUCUGAGGUCCCUGCUCUGAAGAGUUGGUGCAGACUCGGGGGCCAGCCCUGCACCCACCUGUACCCUUUGCUGACAGCUGGACCACAACACUAGAUUGUACCAGAUAGCUGGGAUUGGAAGUGAAGAGAUUUCUCACCCCACGAAUAACCCAAGACACAAAUGUGGAAAUAAAAGAGUUUAUUUAAAAAAGAAAAUAUCUAUAAAAAUGAGAUAAUAAUAAUGAUAGUAUUUUGUUAGGCUCAGAUGUCAUAAAGCAUGCAGUAUAAAGUGCCAUGCACAUAAAAAGUACUCAAUAAACAGUAGCUACUAUUAUUACAGUCAUAAGAACAUUUACUACAUUAUUUAUUUUCACAUAGAACUGAGCUCUUUCAGAGAAUAGUUUGUACAUUUAACUCUAUACACGUAAACUCACUGAUUUUUCUGUUUUUCUGUGGCUAAGCAAAUAAGGAAAGUCAGAGAAACCUGCUGAACCACGGACUGCAAAUUCAAAUUCUGCCAAUUUCAGAAUACAAAUAUGGAGUUUUGAUAAUUACUCUAACUUAUAAGUAAGUAAAUAUAAAGAGAACGGGACUACAGUAAAGUAUAGCACGUGAUUCAAUCUCUCUGAAUCCAUUAGUACUUUGCUAAUUUGCUAGUUAAAAGUUGACUUAAAAGUGACAAGAAAUUAAAUUAGGGAUUUACAGAAGAGACACAUCAAUUAUAGCAACAGGGAUAAGGGAAUAAAUUCUAGUUAAUACGAACAUGACAGGCAUUUCUCUAUUCUCAAUCAUCUAAUGAGAGUUGGGAUUGUUUCCCUAUUUUAAACUUAGUUAUUGUUGUAAAGAACACUAUAAGCACAACUGGAUUAAUCAUACUAUUGAUUCAUGAAGCACUAUAAGCAUAAAGCACUAUAAUCAUUUAUCUAAAUGUAUGUCACCUUUAUGUUUCUUAUUUGAGUCUACUACAUGUCGGUUAUUUAUUUAGUGAGUCAAUAAAUACCUAAGACUCCUUCACUUAACUCAAGAACAAAAGCAUUAUAAAUAAUCUACAUGCUCCUCUAUAUUAAGAAAUCAACUAAAGAAGUACUAAUGAAUGAUGAUCUCUCAAGAUUUGUCCAGUUUCCUGUUUUUUUACUCAAGAAACAGUCACACAUCCUGUUCUGUUGGAGAUGGGACCUUGGUGGUUUUGUGGAAAGUGAAACGAAACUAGAUAAAACCUCUUGCUCCCUAGCUUGUCUUACUUAUUUGAGGUCAAACAUAAUCCACUUAUUGGGCCAUCUGCAGGAUUUCGUCCUUUGCUCAUC